UUGGGAGGGCGUAUAGUGUGGCAGGCUGUCCUCUUCUGCUCCCUGUAAACAGUCUGAGGAGCUCCUGUGCAGAGCAGGGGCAAGGAUGCCUUGUCCAGCCUAGCCCCUGGUCCUGUCUCUUUUGUGGGAAUCCCAAAAGCAAAGGAAGAAUUUGACAUGAAGGCUCCUCUUGUAGCACUGGUUUUGAUGCCCUUCUGGGUCACAGUGCAUAAAUCAGAAGAAAUUCUUGAGAAAAAGAGAGGAAUUAACAUUUCAAAAGAGGAGACCCUGAACAAGAGUAAAAGAUUAACAGUUCAAGAUUUAUUAUCACAAG